CCAACAGGGAUUGCCUCAGUAACGGCGAGUGAAGCGGCAACAGCUCAAAUUUGAAAUCUGGCUCCUUCGGGGUCCGAGUUGUAAUUUGCAGAGGAUGCGUCGGGUACGGGUCCCUACCGAGUUCCCUGGAACGGGACGCCAUAGAGGGUGAGAGCCCCGUCUGGUAGGAUACCCAGCCCAUGUGACGCUCCCUCGACGAGUCGAGUAGUUUGGGAAUGCUGCUCUAACGGGAGGUAUACUCCUUCCAAAGCUAAAUACCGGCUGGAGACCGAUAGCGCACAAGUAGAGUGAUCGAAAGAUGAAAAGCACUUUGAAAAGAGAGUCAAACAGCACGUGAAAUUGUUAAAAGGGAAGCACUCGCUACCAGACUUGGGUUCGGCGGUUCAACCGGGGCCACGCCCCGGGGCAUUCCGCCGGCUCAGGCCAGCAUCAGCUUUCCGUCGGGGGCAAAGACGUCGGGAAUGUAGCUCCUCUUCGGGGGAGUGUUAUAGCCCGGCGUGUCAUACCCUUCGGGGGGCUGAGGUACGCGCUUCUGCAAGGAUGCUGGCGUAAUGGUAGCUAGUGACCCGUCUUGAAACACGGACCAAGGAGUCAACCUUAUGUGCGAGUGCCCGGGCGUAAAACCCCAGCGCGGAAUGAAAGUGAACGUAGGUGAGAGCUUCGGCGCAUCACCGACCGAUCCUGAUGUCCUCGGACGGAUUUGAGUGAGAGCAUAUAGGGUUGGACCCGAAAGAAGAUGAACUAUGCGUGUGUAGGGUGAAGCCAGAGGAAACUCUGGUGGAGGCUCGCAGCGGUUCUGACGUGCAAAUCGAUCGUCAAACAUGCGCAUGGGGGCGAAAGACUAAUCGAAUCUUC
rnacentral:rRNA from 1 species